rnacentral:misc_RNA from 1 species
GUCGUGGGGGGCGGAGUGUAUGUGUGCAUUCCUAUUUUACUUAAAAAUAACCGAGUAAAUAUAAUAAAAUACAAUUAGAAAUCUCAGUGUUCGUAGCUGCAGUUAAUUUACAGUAUAUUGUUCCCACAGCAAUGAAUGGGAACGGAGCCAUGAGCAUGCCGUACUCUUCACCACCACCUUCAUACAGGGAGGCCGUGUCAGAAACUCCUUCAUACACGGAGGCCGUGUCAGGCACUCCUUCAUACACGGAGGCCGUGUUAGACACCCUCGCCCCUGUUCACAGAAUGCAAGUGAGCCACUUGCCCAACGCCACUUCGGCCUCACCAGAAGUGAGCAGUAGUGAUCCACCAGGACAGCCGGCCGUAGUAUCAAGACAACCACAGUCACUAGCAGCCAUUUCCAUGCAUGAGCACCAUUACUGGUGUCCUCCUGGUGCUGAACCUCUAUUGGGCGUGCGGGAGGUGCUUGUGUAUCCUGGUAAAGGUAGGGUGUACAAGAUCAAGGACAGUCUGAAGCAGUUAAUAUUGACAGCUAAGGAGAAAGAGGAGGGGGAGUGCUGUGACUGCUGCAGUGCAAGUGCCUAUCAGAAACGCUACACUCUGAGGACCAUAGACUUGCGCGAGGUUGCCCUAAUGAGGAGAUUUGUCGAUUCCAUUAACUUCUUCUCUGCUCCAGACAGGUCGAUUGUUGUACGUUGCUGUAAGAACUAUUAUUUCUGGAGGACGGGCACUAAGAACAGGACGCUGGUGACUUGUGAAGGGUUUCCCCCCGUGUUUCCUGAUCUGUUACAACACUCCGGCGCUGUGCUGCCUUUACGGCCGUGUGGUCCCUGGACGGGUCUCUGGACGUGUCCCACCUUCCCGACGUGUCCCUGGACGUGUCCCACCUUCCCGACGUGUCCAUGGACGUAUCCCACCUUCCCGACGUGUCCCACCUUCCCGACGUGUCCAUGGACGUAUCCCACCUUCCCGACGGGUCUCUGGACGUGUCCCACCUUCCCGACGUGUUCCACCUUCCCGACGUGUCCCACCUUCCCGACGUGUCCCUGGACGUGUCCCACCUUCCCAACGUGUCUCUUGACAUUUCGUACCUUCCUGACGUGUCUGGACAUGCCGUACCUUCCUGACAUGUCUGGCUACGUGCACAUGGACAUUAAAGUCUUGCCGGAUGCACCAAUUGGUAGAAUACACACACAUGGAAAUCGCAAGUAUACCAUCAGUAACACCUCGGGGGAUAUGUUGUUUACUGUGAAGAGGGAGAGCGGUUUCCUCUCACAACCUCCCUUCCAGAUCUUUACAGAUGGCGGAGAAGAGAUUGGCAACAUCAGUUGCGGCCACAGAGGCAAGCACAGGCUUCAGUUCCCCUUAGACCUACAAGUGCAACACAAGCUCCUGCUAUUGUGUCUUGCUAUUAGUCUACAAGAUGAUGCGGACGAGAGCAGACGUGAUAGCUCAAGUUAGCGAAGAGCAUUAUCUCAGUUCAUUUUUUGGCUUCAGCUACUUCGUGUUUGCUCAACGUCUCUCUUGAGAGAAAUGAGAAGAAUGUUGUUAAUUAGUCGGAAGCGGGCCUCGGGUGAAAGGGGACUCGUUCGUCCACCUCCUGAGGGGCGCGCGGCCCAACAGGCUCUGCUUCAGGAGGCUGGGGUCGUUCUUGCCCUUGCUGGGGUGGUUCUUCUCCGGCCCCGACCACGACGGUCUCCGGGUCUGGAGUCCCUGUGCCUUCUUUUACCAACUUCGAGGUCAACUCCGGAGCUGGAGCUCCCGGGGCAGUUCUUCAACCUCGCUCUGACAGUUCCUGCGACAGCGCUGGAACCAAUCGUAUUGCGUUUGCCUUUCCAUUGGAGACUUUCGGCGCCGUGGAGAGGGGGUGACCUGCUGCAUGGGUAACAGCUUCUCCCCCGUAUCAACCUACCAUGGCUUUGCGUCCUGGAGAGGCCACUCCAGACCGACAAGUCGAUUGUGGAUUUGAUAAUGGACUUGAUUGUGGACUUGAUUAUUAAGUCGAUUGUGGACUUGAUAAUGGUCCAGGACGGACCGGAACGUCGUCGUCUCUUCAAUUUCUAGUGUAGUUUGGUCAACACUACACUCAUGAACUGUUUGGCCCUGCUAUGUGGCAGUUAUGACCCAAUAUAUACCAGUUGUGACUGGGUAUAAUGUUAUAACUUUAUUGACGAAUUGUACAUAUGACACCAUUUACUUACAUAUCUUGUAUAAUAAUCGCUAUAAUGUUAUACACUUGCAGGUGUAUAGGAUUAUUGUGUUUAUAUUUAAUAUUUCAAUGUAUUGUUUUGGGUAUUAUGAAUAGCUUGUUUGAAUGGCACGCGACCUGACCAGUAUGUGUGUGUGUACUCACCUAGUUGAGCUUCGGCUCUUUUUCCCUCCUUCUCAACUGGCGUACAGGUUCCUGAGCCUACUGGGCUCUAUCAUAUAUACCCUUGAAACUGUGUAUGGAGUCA